CGGGAAUUUUACAGUGCUGGCAUAUUGUUUGGGCCGUAAUUUCAUCUGGUGCUUAUUGUCCACCCUGCUCAGUUAGAUAGCAUAGCUGAGCAGGACCCAAGAGGAGAGAGAAUUGAAGCUGACUGUGGCAUUGGGGCUAAUGCAAUUAAUGUCCUGACUGUUUCAGCAGCUUUUGGGGCCACAAUAGAGAGGCAUUCAGAAAAUCCCCGAAGAAAUAAUGUGGCCUACUCUCUGACUCCUGGAGGAUAUAGAAGAGAAUUUAGGAGCCAACAUGGAGGAAGUAGCUCCAUGAAGGAAAAGCCCUCAUAACAGCUUCUGCCAUUGUGAUCCUCAACUCAAGGAAUAGCCUCACCUCCCAGCCAAGCUGAAAGUUCUGGAAAUCACCUUACACCUGUCCCCAACCUCUGUUACAUAUGGUGCACAUCUGAUCAUCACCAACAUUCACUCAACAGGUACUUAUUGAGGGUCUGCUGCAUACCUGGCACUCUGCCAGGUGGGAUGAUGAAGUGAUCUCUUGCUUGUAGAGGAGAGGGUGUGUGUGCUUAGUCUCUGAGUCAUGUCCAGCUCUUUGUGAUCCCAUGGACUGUAGCCUGCCAGGCUUCUCUGUCCAUGGGAUUCUCCAGGCAAGAAUACUGGAGUGGGCCCUCCUCCAGGGGAAUCUUCCCAACCCAGGGAUUGAACCCAGGUCUCCUGUAUUGCAGGCAUAUAC
rnacentral:lncRNA from 1 species